UACGUAGGGGGCUAGCGUUAUCCGGAAUUACUGGGCGUAAAGGGUGCGCAGGUGGUUUCUUAAGUCAGAGGUGAAAGGCUACGGCUCAACCGUAGUAAGCCUUUGAAACUGGGAAACUUGAGUGCAGGAGAGGAGAGUGGAAUUCCUAGUGUAGCGGUGAAAUGCGUAGAUAUUAGGAGGAACACCAGUUGCGAAGGCGGCUCUCUGGACUGUAACUGACACUGAGGCACGAAAGCGUGGGGAGCAAACAGGAUUAGAUACCCGUGUAGUCCCUGA
rnacentral:rRNA from 1 species